rnacentral:rRNA from 1 species
UACGUAGGGUGCAAGCGUUAUCCGGAAUUAUUGGGCGUAAAGAGCUCGUAGGCGGUUUGUCACGUCUGCUGUGAAAACUGGAGGCUCAACCUCCAGCCUGCAGUGGGUACGGGCAGACUAGAGUGCGGUAGGGGAGAUUGGAAUUCCUGGUGUAGCGGUGAAAUGCGCAGAUAUCAGGAGGAACACCGGUGGCGAAGGCGGGUCUCUGGGACGGUACUGACGCUGAGGCGCGAAAGCGUGGGGAGCAAACAGG